rnacentral:rRNA from 1 species
CCUACGGGUGGCUGCAGUGGGGAAUAUUGGACAAUGGGCGAAAGCCUGAUCCAGCCAUGCCGCGUGUGUGAAGAAGGCCUUCGGGUUGUAAAGCACUUUCAGUGGGGAAGAAAGCCUUGGGGCUAAUACCCUCGAGGAAGGACAUCACCCACAGAAGAAGCACCGGCUAACUCCGUGCCAGCAGCCGCGGUAAUCGGAGGGUGCGAGCGUUAAUCGGAAUUACUGGGCGUAAAGCGCGCGUAGGCGGUCUGAUAAGCCGGUUGUGAAAGCCCCGGGCUCAACCUGGGAACGGCAUCCGGAACUGUCAGGCUAGAGUGCAGGAGAGGAAGGUAGAAUUCCCGGUGUAGCGGUGAAAUGCGUAGAGAUCGGGAGGAAUACCAGUGGCGAAGGCGGCCUUCUGGACUGACACUGACGCUGAGGUGCGAAAGCGUGGGUAGCAAACAGGAUUAGAUACCCCAGUAGUC